AGUGAACGCUGGCGGUAGGCCUAACACAUGCAAGUCGAACGGCAGCACAGUAAGAGCUUGCUCUUACGGGUGGCGAGUGGCGGACGGGUGAGGAAUACAUCGGAAUCUACUUUUUCGUGGGGGAUAACGUAGGGAAACUUACGCUCAUACCGCAUACGACCUACGGGUGAAAGCAGGGGAUCUUCGGACCUUGCGCGAUUGAAUGAGCCGAUGUCGGAUUAGCUAGUUGGCGGGGUAAAGGCCCACCAAGGCGACGAUCCGUAGCUGGUCUGAGAGGAUGAUAAGCCACACUGGAACUGAGACACGGUCCAGACUCCUACGGGAGGCAGCAGUGGGGAAUAUUGGACAAUGGGCGCAAGCCUGAUCCAGCCAUACCGCGUGGGUGAAGAAGGCCUUCGGGUUGUAAAGCCCUUUUGUUGGGAAAGAAAAGCAGCAGGUUAAUACCCCGCUGUUCUGACGGUACCCAAAGAAUAAGCACCGGCUAACUUCGUG
rnacentral:rRNA from 1 species